rnacentral:ncRNA from 1 species
GAUUGUGCAGAGUGCUGUUCAGCGGCUUGAUAAACAGGCUGUUAUUCCGCAGCCUCACCUCGCCUUUAGCGGUGGUGAUCUCACCAUCCAAUGGAAUAUCGAGAUGUAAGCGAGCGCUCACAUCGCCAUCAAGCUGAAGCUCGUCCAGGGUCGCGCCGAGAGAGUCCUUCAGCGGCGUCUCGUUGAAGUACGGCCCGACCUCUUUGCCCGGACCGUUGAUAUCGGCGUCAAUCAGCAGCUUCUCUUUUCGGUAGUCUGGGAUUGCCGCCGCCAGGUUGCGCGCCUGCACCCCGCCGAGGCUGACCGCAUCGCUCUUCAUAAACAGGCCGUCGUUGAGGAAGUCCAGCUCGAUGUCGAAAUUCUUGAGUGCAGGCCAGCCAGGCUGGAAGGCGUACACCGCAUUGUGUAACGGCAC